UUACUCAGUCACCACCGGGAAUUUUUCGCGUUAAAUCAAGAAGCAAUUGCAUCUGGGUACCCAAGAUUCGGAUAUUCAGGACAGGUUAGAGUUUAUCGUGAAAACUUG